AUGGCUCAAGUGGUAGAGCACCUGCUUAACAAGCAGGAGAUCUUGAGUUCAAAUCCCAGU
rnacentral:tRNA from 1 species